UCGCCUCUCACACACAGACGCACGCACCCAGCGUCGCCAGCAGCCCCGCUCAGCCCUCUCUCCCUCUUCUCUCUCAACUGGCGGCAGCAGGCGCAGCCGCCGCGGAGCGCCGCCGCCUCCGGCGUCCUCGUGGCAGAUCCGCCGUCGCCUCCUUCUGAAAAUCCAGCGGACGACGGCAGCGGCUUCACGCCACCACCACCGGCGUCCUAGCCCCCAACUCUCUCUCUCUCCCUCUCCAACUUCGGUCGGGCAGCAGCAGAAGAAGCGGACUGCCGCCGCACCCUCCACCUCCCUUUCGAUCUCCGGCGAACGCGCCUCCGCGUCGCCUCCAGUCGAUGAAGGACGCCGCCUUCACCGGCUCCCUCACAACCCUGCCGUCGCCUCACUCCGAAGUCCGACGGCCGCAGCAGUUAGCCGAGCUAACCACCGUCACCCCCUUAGCUCCUGCCUCCCUCUCUCUCUUCGUCCUCGGUCCUACAGCAGCGGGCAGAGCCGCCGUGCCGCGGCCUCC
rnacentral:lncRNA from 1 species